ensembl:lncRNA
CCAUCAGACAGCCACAUCUCCCCCACCACAGAGGUCACCCGCCCAUCAGACAGCCACAUCUCCCCACCACAUAGGUCCCCUCCCAUCAGACAGCCACAUCUCCCCCACCACAGAGAUCACCCGCCCAUCAGACAGCCACAUCUCCCCACCACAGAGGUCCCCUCCCAUCAGACAGCCACAUCUCCCCCCCCACCACAGAGGUCACCCGCCCAUCAGACAGCCACAUCUCCCCCACCACAGAGGUCCCCCCCAUCCCCCAUCAGACAGCCACAUCUCCACCCACCACAGAGGUCACCCUCCCAUCAGACAGCCACAUCUCCACCCACCACAGAGGUCACCCGCCCAUCAGACAGCCGUAGACAAUGCAUACCCUUGGCUUCACUGCUCUGUCUUUCCAAACCAAAGAAGAAGGAGCUGGGAGCAUCCAUCUCCUUGAUCAUGGAGAACCUAGCUCUUACAAGUGCCCCCUUUGCUUUAACCUGGAAAACACUGCCCAGGUCCCUACAUAAUUCAGCUAAAUUAGCCUGGAGGCCUACAUUGCCUUGCCCCACCAUCUCUACCUCCAUCUCACUAAUACUACGCUCGAGUUCCCCCAAUACUCUCCUAGCCUCUGAGGAUGAUAGAGCUGUGUACUGUUGACAGAAAAGCCCAAUUUGGACUUUCACCACAUCCCCCUGUUGACUCUGAGACUCAUACUCCUCAUCUACACCACCAUCUAUAACAUGACUAGACCCAGCCUCAUCUAUAACAUCUAUAACCUGACUAGACCCAGCCCCAUCUACAACACCAUCUAUAACCUGACUAGACCCAGUCUCAUCUACACCACCAUCUAUAACCUGACUAGACCCAGCCUCAUCUACACCACCAUCUAUAGCAUGACUAGACCCAGCCUCAUCUACACCACCAUCUAUAACCUGACUAGACCCAGCCUCAUCUACACCACCAUCUAUAACCUGACUAGACCCAGCCUCAUCUACACCACCAUCUAUAACCUGACUAGACCCAGCCUCAUCUACACCACCAUCUAUAACCUGACUAGACCCAGCCUCAUCUACACCACCAUCUAUAGCAUGACUAGACCCAGCCUCAUCUAUAACAUCUAUAACAUGACUAGACCCAGC